AAUGAACUUCAAGUUAGCCCUCAAUCUUACAAUAGAAAGAGAACAUAAGGUCAAAUCCUUACAAUGGCUUUUCAUAUUUAUCAACGACCUUAUGUUUUGAGCGUCAUAUGCAUUGCUAUGAUUUUCGCUGCAGGAGUAGUAACUUGUUUUGAGUCUCCACUACUAAGCUGCCAGGAGCGAUGCAUAGAUGAUCCAACGUGCGACUUUAUCUGCCAUAAAAAGGGUUUUGUCAAAGGGGGAUCUUGUAAGCCAAUCAUUCUAUAUUUUCUGUGUUGCUGUAUGAAAUGAGUAAUCUCCAUGUGUGAAAAAUAGAAUAAAACUAUUGGAGUUAGUAAGAACUUCUUGUACUUGAUUUAUCAAUACAUGUGCGAUGUGACUCGUUGUUUCGCUA